AAUAAAUUUUUAUUAAUUUUCCAAACAUAAGAUAAGAAAGCAAACAAUACACAAAACACCGACAUACAAACAUAUAAACAUGUAUAAUUUCAUAGCCAUUUUUCAUAAACCUUACUUUCCGGACUUCCCCAUACCUCCCCUUUCUGCAUCCUUGUUUUAUAUUUCUUCAGCAACUCCUCAAUCAACUAAUUAUUCAAUUCAAUUUCUUUUAAGUUCUUCUAAUAUUAUUAGUUACAGCUGCAGUUCUCUGUUUCCCAACCCCUUGACAUUUUAACAUUCCUGAAUUUUACAACAAGUUCUAAGAUAAACUUUAAAUUUCUUCCAAUCUUCUUCCACUGUCUCUUUCCCCUGGUCACGGAUUCUGCCAGUCAAUUCGGCCAGUCCCAUAUAGUCGAUCACCUUCGUCUGCCAUUCUUCCAGUGUGGGUAGUUGUUGUGUCUUCCAAUACUUUGCUAGAAGAAUCCUUGCUGCUGUUGUCGCAUACAUAAAAAACGUCCUGUCCUUCCUUCUCACCAAUUGGCCGACAAUGCCCAAGAGAAAAGCCUCUGGUUGUUUAGGGAAGGUCCAUUUAAGAACCUUCUUAAUUUCAUUAUAGAUCAUUUCCCAAAAAGCUUUUAUCCUCGGGCAGGUCCACCAAAGGUGAUAAAAAGUACCUUCAGUCUCAUUACAUUUCCAACAUUUGUUAUUGGGCAGAUGAUAAAUUUUUGCAAGCUUGACUGGGGUCAUGUACCACCUAUACAUCAUUUUCAUAAUGUUUUCUCUUAAGGCAUUACAUGCCGUAAAUUUAAUACCGGUGGUCCACAACUGUUCCCAGUCAGCAAACAUAAUGUUAUGACCGAUAUCUUGUGCCCAUUUUAUCAUAGCUGAUUUCACCGUUUCAUCCUGUGUAUUCCAUUUCAACAGCAGAUUAUACAUUCUCGACAGAUUCUUAGUAUUGGGUUCUAACAGUUCUGUUUCCAAUUUUGACCUCUCCAUCUGGAAACCUAUUUUCCUGUCCUGUUUAAAUGUCUCGUUUAUCUGAAGGUAGUGCAACCAAUCUCGCACUUUGGACUUUAAUUUCUCAUAGCUCUGUAAUUUAACUUUUUCCCCAUCUUGUUCUAGAAUUUCACAAUAUUUUGGCCAUUUAGACUCCAUAUUAAGUUUUUUCACCUCUUUAGCUUCCAUUGGUGACAACCACCUGGGAGUUUUACUUUCCAAUAGAUCUUUAUACCGCAUCCAAACAUUGUAUAAUGCUUUCCUAACAAUAUGGUUUUUGAAACCUUUAUGCUGUUUUACCUUAUCAUACCAUAUAUAUGCAUGCCAACCAAAUCUAUUAUCAAACCCUUCUAGAUCCAAAAUAUCUGUAUUCUCAAGAAGUAGCCACUGUUUCAACCAGCAGAAAGCCGCCGAUUCAUAGUAGAGUCUUAAGUCCGGCAGGGCAAACCCCCCUCUAUCUUUAGCAUCAGUUAGAUUCUUAAAUUUUAUUCUGGGCUUUUUGCCCUGCCAGACAAAUUUAGAUAUAUCUUUCUGCCACUUCUUGAAACAGUCCAUCUUGUCCAAAAUCUGCAAUGUCUGAAAUAAAAACAACAUUCUAGGCAAUACAUUCAUCUUGAUAACAGCAAUUCGGCCUAACAAAGAAAGUUUCAACCUUGACCAUAUUUCUAGAUCCUUCUUUACCUCUGUCCAACAUUUAUCAUAAUUGUCCUUAAAUAAAUUCACAUUCUUAGAUGUUAAGUUUACCCCCAGGUACUUUACUUUUUCGUUAUCACUAGUCCUGUUUCAUUCUGAAACUUCUCUUUUCGGCCAAUGUUAAAUUUUUAUCCAACACUUUCGUUUUCUGUUUGUUCAGUUUAAAUCCUGCUACUUGACCAAAUAUCUCAAUUAGUUCUAAUACUCUUUUAGUACUAGUAUCUGGCUGUUGCAAGGUCAAUACUAGGUCAUCUGCAAAUGCCCUUAACUUGUACUGUUUGGCUCCGACUUGUACUCCUUUAACCAACUGGUCUCCUCUAAUCAUAUUUAACAAAACCUCCAGGACUAAUAUAAACAAUAGAGGGGAUAUUGGGCACCCCUGUCGUGUACCUUUUUCUAUAGGUAUUUCUUCCGUUACCACAUUGUUUACAAUUAACUUUGCUUUUUGUUUAGAGUAUAUUGCACCUAUACCAUUUUCAAACCCUUGACCUACCCCCAUCCCUUGGAGAUUCUUCUUCAUAAAACUCCAACCAAUAUUGUCAAAGGCUUUCUCCGCGUCCACAAAAAUUAAAACAGCCUUCCUAUUAAUGUCCACUUCUAACAGUUCCAAAAUGUCUAUAAUGUUCCUCACAUUGUCCGACAUAUAUCUCCCUGGAAGAAAGCCAGUUUGGUCUUUAUGAAUCUCCCCUACCAACACUCUCUUCAGUCUUUUUGCCAUAAUGUCCGCAAAAAUUUUGUAAUCCACAUUAAGUAAUGAUAUAGGGCGGUAGUUUUUAACCUGGUUCUUUUCAGUCUCAGUUUUCGGUAUAAGUGAGAUAAAAGCUUCUUUCCACGACUCUGGUGCCUUUUUCCCCUCCAAAAUUUCGUUACAUACUUCCUUCAGUGGUUGUACUAACCAUUCCUUCAACACUUUAUAGUAUCUGGCGGUCAAACCAUCUGGUCCUGGAGCUUUUCCCAAUUGCAUCUUCUGAAUGGCACCCUCUAUUUCUUGUCCUGUUAUUUUCUCAUUCAAAAUCCUUCUGCUUUGCUCUGAAAUUUUUGGUAAUCCAUGUUUCUUAACAAAUUCUUCUAUUUCCUGUUCAUUAACUGGCCCUUGUGCAUAUAAUUUCCUGAAAUAACCUUGAAAACAAUUACUUAUCUCAUUUGGUUUGUGGAUAAUCUUUCCGUCCACUUCUAAACUUGUCACAGUGUUCAAUUUUUGCCUCUUUUUCAAUUGCCAUGACAGAAAUUUCCCACAUUUAUCUGCUGAUUCAAAUGUCUUUUGUCUCAUUUGCUUUAUUUUCCAUUCUAUCUCUUGAUUCAUCAAUUCCAUAUAUUGCACCUGAUAGUACUUUAUUUCUUUCAGAAUCUCAUGAGACUUUGGUUUAGACCUCAAUUUCUUUUCACCUUCUUUUAUUUUUUCCAGAAUUUUUCCUUUCCUUUCAUUUUGAUUUUUCCUUUUUAUGGAGUUCUGUUGUAUUAGGAAACCUCGCAUCACGGCCUUACUUGCGUCCCAAAUUAUUCUUUUUUCCACUUCUGUUCUCAAAUUUAUCUCAAAAUAAUCUUUCACUGUUUUUUGGGCCUUCUUAUAAAUCUCUUCAUCUCUGAAUAGGGUGUCAUUCAUUCUCCAUCUGAAGGAUCCAGUUGUUGUAAGUUUCAUCUCCAUCUUUACAGCAUUAUGGUCGGAGCAAGUCUUUGAGCAGAUUUCUACCUUUUUAAUCCUUGGCGCCAUACUGCUAGUUACCCAAAUUUGGUCAAUUCUUGUCCAUGUCAUUUUUGCUUCAGAGAAAAAGGUUCCCUCUCUCUCAAGAGGGUUCCUUGUUCUCCAAAUGUCAAUCAAGUCCAUAGUUUCAGUCAUUUCAAAAAAGUCUUUGGUAGUCUCCCUUCCUUGGAAAUUACUUGUCUCUGUGCUUUGUCCAUAUUUGUGGAAACUACGCCAUUCAUGUCUCCCAUCAUUAUAAUUCUGUAGUCUAAAUAGUCCAUUAAAGUCUCAUGCAGCUUCUUAAAGAAUUCCGCCUUCCCAUCAUUUGGUGCAUAGAUUCCAACUAUCAAAAAUUUUUCUCCUUGAACUUGUAUUUCAAUUGCCAGGUAUCUUCCUUGUUCAUCUUUAAAUAUCAUCUUUGGAGCCAAUUUUUCUUUUGCAUAGAUCACCACGCCUCUUUUCUUAACUUUAUCUGAUGAAAUAAAUUCUUGUCCAAGUCUCUUAUUUACCAAUAAUUUCCGAUGUGUCCUGGUCACAUGAGUCUCUUGUAGGCAUAUUAGAUCUAAUUGUUCUCUUUUCAAAAUAUGAAAAACUUGGCGUCUUUUUCGGGAAGGUUCAAACCAUUACAGUUCCAGCUAAGAAGUUGCAGAGACAUUUUGUUAUUAAGUACCUGUUCCUCCGACUGCUCCUAACUUUUGUUCCUCUUCAGAUGAUGGUAUGAGUCCAAAUGACAAGUUUGCAAUGUCUG
rnacentral:lncRNA from 1 species